rnacentral:rRNA from 1 species
GGUUCGAUCAUGUCAGAUUGAACGCUGGCCGGGAUGCUUUACACAUAAGUCGAACGGCACGGACUUCGGUCUGGUGGCGAGUGGCGAACGGGUGAGUAAUGUAUCGGAACGAUGCCCUAGUAACUGAGGAUAACUACGCGAAAGCGGCUAAUACCAUGCGCCCUUCAAGGGAAAGCAGCGGGGGACCUUCGGGCCUCACUAUUGGAAGCAGCCGAUAUCGGAUUAGCUAGUUGGUGGGGUAACGGCUCACCAAGGCGACGCGAUCCGUAGCUGGUUUGAGGACGACCAAACCCUGGGACUGAGACACGGCCCAGACUCCUACAGGAGGCAGCAGUGGGGAAUUUUGGACAAUGGAAACCUGAUCCAGCCAUCACGUGUGCGAUGAGGCCUUCGGGUUGUAAGCACUUUUGGCAGGAAAGAAACGGCACGGGAUAAUACCCCGUACGUGGCAGCCGAACACCUGCAGAAUAAGCACCGGCUAACUACGUGCCAGCAGCCGCGGUAACGUAGGGUGCAAGCUGACGUUAAUCGGAAUUACUGGGCGUAAAGCGUGCGCAGGCGGUUCGGAAGAAAAGAUGUGAAAUCCCAGAGCUUAACUUUGGAACUGCAUUUUUAACUGCCGAGCUAGAGUGUGUCAGAGGAGGUGGAAUUCCGCGUGCUUAGCAGUGAAAUGCGUAGAUAUGCGGAGGAACACACCUGUGACAGCCUCCUGGGAUAACACUGACGCUCAUGCACACGAAAGCGUGGGGAGCAAACAGGAUUAGAUACCCUGGUAGUCCACGCCCUAAACGAUGUCAACUAGCUGUUGGGGCCUUCGGGCCUUGGUAGCGCAGCUAACGCGUGAAGUUGACCGCCUGAGGCUGGUCAUAAGAUUAAAACUCAAAGGAAUUGACGGGGGCCCGCACAAGCGGUGGAUGAUGUGGAUUAAUUCGAUGCAACGCGAAAAACCUUACCUACCCUUGACAUGUCUGGAAUCCCGAAGAGAUUUGGGAGUGCUCUAUGAAGAGAACCGGAACACAGGUGCUACGCAUGGCUGUCGUCAGCUCGUGUCGUGAGAUGUUGGGUUAAGUCCGCAACCUUGAAGCACCAACCCUUGUCAUUAGUUGCUACUGAAAGGGCACUCUGAAGACCACUGGCGAGACUGCCGGUGACAAACCGGAGGAAGAGAAUUGAGGAUGACGUCAAGUCCUCAUGGCCCAUAUGGGUAGACUACACGUCAUACAAUGGUCGGGACAGAGGGGUCGCCAACCCGCGAGGGCCAAUCCCAGAAACCCGAUCGUAGUCCGGAUCGCAGUCUGCAGCUCGACUGCGUGGAAGUCGGAAUCGCUAGUAAUCGCGGAUCCAGCAUGUCGCGGUGAAUACGUUCGGGUCUUGUACACACCGCCACCGUCACACACCAUGGGAGUGGGUUUUACCAGAAGUAAUUAGCCUAACCGUAAGGAGAGAUUACCACGGUAGGAUUCAUGACUGGGGUGAAGUCGUAACGGGU